AACAAGGUAGCCGUAGGAGAACCUGCGGCUGGAUCACCUCCUUUCUAAGGAAUAAUUACGG
rnacentral:rRNA from 1 species